UACGGAAUGUGCAAACGUUAUUCGGAAUCACUGGGCGUAAAGCGCACGUAGGCGGAUAUUUAAGUCGGUGGUGAAAUCCUGGAGCUCAACUCCAGAACUGCCUCCGAUACUGAAUGUCUUCGAGUCCGGGAGAGGUGAGUGGAACUGCGAGUGUAGAGGUGAAAUUCGUAGAUAUUCGCAAGAACACCAGUGGCGAAGGCGGCUCACUGGCCCGGUACUGACGCUGAGGUGCGAAAGCGUGGGGAGCAAACAGG
rnacentral:rRNA from 1 species